rnacentral:rRNA from 1 species
GGGACCCGCACAAGCGGUGGAUGAUGUGGUUUAAUUCGAUGCAACGCGAAAAACCUUACCCACCUUUGACAUGUACGGAAUCCUUUAGAGAUAGAGGAGUGCUCGAAAGAGAACCGUAACACAGGUGCUGCAUGGCUGUCGUCAGCCCGUGUCGUGAGAUGUUGGGUUAAGUCCCGCAACGAGCGCAACCCUUGUCAUUAGUUGCUACAUUCAGUUGGGCACUCUAAUGAGACUGCCGGUGACAAACCGGAGGAAGGUGGGGAUGACGUCAAGUCCUCAUGGCCCUUAUAGGUGGGGCUACACACGUCAUACAAUGGAUGGUACAAAGGGUCGCCAACCCGCGAGGGGGAGCCAAUCCCAUAAAGCCAUUCGUAGUCCGGAUCGCAGUCUGCAACUCGACUGCGUGAAGUCGGAAUCGCUAGUAAUCGUGGAUCAGCAUGUCACGGUGAAUACGUUCCCGGGUCUU